rnacentral:rRNA from 1 species
GAUGAACGCUAGCGGCAGGCUUAAUACAUGCAAGUCGUGGGGCAGCAGCUCUGUAGCAAUACAGAGGCUGGCGACCGGCAAAACGGGUGCGGAACACGUACGCAACUUACCCAUAACUGGUGAAUAGCCCUCCGAAAGGAGGAUUAAUACAUCGUAACAUAAUGAAAGGGCAUCCUUUAUUAUUAUAGCUCGCGGUAUGGAUGGCGUGCGGCUGAUUAGGAGUUGGCGGAGUAAUAGCCCACCAAGCCAACGAUCAGUAACUGGUGUGAGAGCACGACCAGUCACACGGGCACUGAGACACGGGCCCGACCUCCUACGGGAGG